rnacentral:rRNA from 1 species
GAUGAACGCUAGCGGGAGGCCUAACACAUGCAAGCCGAGCGGUAGAGAUUCUUCGGAAUCUUGAGAGCGGCGUACGGGUGCGGAACACGUGUGCAACCUGCCUUUAUCAGGGGGAUAGCCUUUCGAAAGGAAGAUUAAUACCCCAUAAUAUAUUUGAUGGCAUCAUUAGAUAUUGAAAGCUUUGGCGGAUAGAGAUGGGCACGCGCAAGAUUAGAUAGUUGGUGAGGUAACGGCUCACCAAGUCGAUGAUCUUUAGGGGGCCUGAGAGGGUGAUCCCCCACACUGGUACUGAGACACGGACCAGACUCCUACGGGAGGCAGCAGUGAGGAAUAUUGGACAAUGGGUUAGCGCCUGAUCCAGCCAUCCCGCGUGAAGGACGACGGCCCUAUGGGUUGUAAACUUCUUUUGUACAGGGAUAAACCUACUCUCGUGAGAGUAGCUGAAGGUACUGUACGAAAAAGCACCGGCUAACUCCGUG